AUUGAACGCUGGCGGCAGGCCUAACACAUGCAAGUCGAGCGGAUGAAGGGAGCUUGCUCCUGGCUUCAGCGGCGGACGGGUGAGUAAUGCCUAGGAAUCUGCCUUGUCUUUGGGGAUAACGUCCGGACACGGGCGCUAAUACCGCAUACGUCCUGAUGGAGAAAGUGGGGGAUCUUCGGACCUCACGCUAUCAGAUGAGCCUAGGUCGGAUUAGCUAGUUGGUGGGGUAAAGGCCUACCAAGGCGACGAUCCGUAACUGGUCUGAGAGGAUGAUCAGUCACACUGGAACUGAGACACGGUCCAGACUCCUACGGGAGGCAGCAGUGGGGAAUAUUGGACAAUGGGCGAAAGCCUGAUCCAGCCAUGCCGCGUGUGUGAAGAAGGUCUUCGGAUUGUAAAGCACUUUAAGUUGGGAGGAAGGGCAGUAAGUUAAUACCUUGCUGUUUUGACGGUACCAACAGAAUAAGCACCGGCUAACUUCGUG
rnacentral:rRNA from 1 species